rnacentral:rRNA from 1 species
AUGCUUGCGGGUGUGGCCAUCAGCUCAAAGGGAGGUCUCUCCCUGAGGCGCACGUCUGCCCGUUGCCCAACCAAGGUGCCUGCGGCUAGGCAUGCUGAGGCAUGUAUCUGUCGCAGACUGGGGAUCAUAGAAGAUGGAGAGGAUAUAACUGAGAAGGCAAUUGAUCAAUUUGCGGCCAAGUUCAAAAAUCAGCUGCAUGUUGAUGUCAUCGGAGCCAUGCGUGCUUUCUUCACGCUGGAUGAUGCCCAGUACAACGCUGCUGAGGAUGGGCUGCUCCAGCAUGGGGGCGAGGAGGCUCUGGACCACGAUGAAGGCGCUGCAACAGCUCCUGUUGCAUUAUGGACUCCUGUGUCGCUUUAG